UUGGCGGGCAAUUCAAUUACCUAUUCAAAGGCAAAGCAUUGAAAGGAAUUCAUUUUGAGUUCAAAACGCGUACGGUCAACAAUUCCGCAAGAAGCUGCUUAAAAAAACUUGUAGAAACCCCUUAAAAUUUCAAUAACUAAAGUGUUCUCAGAAUUGAAAUAUGACGAAAACGGUGUGCACAAGGUUGCUCAAUGCCAAGGAACAACCGAUAAAGAGCAAAACCAUAUCCAAGGAUCCUGGAAUUUAUGCCAUAAUUGAACAUCACAAUAGCAUGUCUGAAAUCCUAUACGUUGGAAAGUCCAACAACCCGAAACGAAGAAUCAAAGAACACCUGAGAGGAGACAACCAAGAAAUUGACAGAAAGAUCAAAAGAACAGCAAAAACACGGCUGUUCGUAAAGCAAGUUCCAGUACACGACCCAGGCCGCAAUGAAAAGAAGUACAUCGAUUGCCUGAAGGAGAUGGGUGAAAAAUUGUCCUUAAAUAACACAGGGGGUAAUUCUAAAUCCAAAAAGACAAAGGCACGAAGGAAAGAACAAUAGUAAGGAUCACUCUUAGGUUGUUCGUAAGCACUUUAGUUUAUUUUGAAGUGCCUUCCUAGCCAAGAAGUCUCAUUUUUCUACUCUGUAAGCAUGCCUUUUUAAUCAUUUGAAGAAUUGUUUUGAAUAACUUUUUAGAGCAUCAACCUGCCUUAGUCAGACGAGAACAUGCUGUAGUAAUGCUUUUGAAUAAAAAACAUACCUAACUGAAGGGGCAAAUACGAA